rnacentral:lncRNA from 1 species
AUUUCUGAUAAGUCACACAGAAGUUUGGGGAUAGCCAAAGACAAUAAGAGACGCAACAACCUCCCGCAGAUCUAUGGUGGUACACCCCACUGGCCUUAACCUAUCGAGAUUGGGUCGCUCCUAAAAGGGAGCCACCGGAUCCAUCCGCCAUAGAAGCAGAUUCAAGUCGACCGUACCCGUUGGAGACGCUGGGAAGGCCGUAAUCUACCAUGACCUCCC